AUUGAACGCUGGCGGCAGGCCUAACACAUGCAAGUCGAGCGAGCGGCGGACGGGAGUGUAUUGUAUGGGGCUCUGUCCUAUAGAGGGGGAUCACUUCUGGAAACUGGCGAUAAUCCCGCAUACUAUCGGAUGCACCCAUAUGGGAUUCGCUAGUAGGUGGGGUAAAGGCUCACCUAGGGGACGAUCUCUCUCUGGUCUGAGAGGAGGAUCAGCCACACUGGAACUGAGACACGGCCCAGCCUCCUACGGGAGGCAGCAGUGGGGAAUAUUGCACAAUGGGCGCAAGCCGGAUGCAGCCAUGCCGCGUGUGUGAAGAAGGCCUGGGGGUUGUAAGGCACUUUCAGCGGGGAGGCGUUACCCGCAGAAGAAGCACCGGCUAACUCCGUGCCAGCAGCCGCGGUAAUAC
rnacentral:rRNA from 1 species